CAGCAGCAGCCGCGGUAAUACAGAGGGUGCAAGCGUUAAUCGGAAUUACUGGGCGUAAAGCGCGCGUAGGUGGUUUGUUAAGUUGGAUGUGAAAUCCCCGGGCUCAACCUGGGAACUGCAUUCAAAACUGACUGACUAGAGUAUGGUAGAGGGUGGUGGAAUUUCCUGUGUAGCGGCGAAAUGCGUAGAUAUAGGAAGGAACACCAGUGGCGAAGGCGACCACCUGGACUAAUACUGACACUGAGGUGCGAAAGCGUGGGGAGCAAACAGGAUUAGAUACCCGCGUAGUCCCUGUCUCUUAUAC
rnacentral:rRNA from 1 species